rnacentral:rRNA from 1 species
UACGAAGGGUGCAAACGUUGCUCGGAAUCAUUGGGCGUAAAGCGCACGUAGGCGGCUUCGCAAGUCGGAUGUGAAAUCCCACGGCUCAACCAUGGACGUGCAUCCGAAACUGUGAGGCUUGAGUAUGGAAGAGGGUCGCGGAAUUCCCGGUGUAGAGGUGAAAUUCGUAGAUAUCGGGAGGAACACCAGUGGCGAAGGCGGCGACCUGGGCCAAUACUGACGCUGAGGUGCGAAAGCGUGGGGAGCCAAACAGGGUAGUUAAGCAACC